UCCGGUUUGGCACCGGCAGUCUCUCUAGAGUGCCCGGCUUUACCCGCUGGUAACUAGAGACGGGGGUUGCGCUCGUUGCGGGACUUAACCCAACAUCUCACGACACGAGCUGACGACAGCCAUGCAGCACCUGUGCGCGGACUCCGAAGAGGGGCCCCCCUUUCUGGGGGCUUUCCCGCGCAUGUCAAGCCCAGGUAAGGUUCUUCGCGUUGCGUCGAAUUAAUCCGCAUGCUCCGCCGCUUGUGCGGGCCCCCGUCAAUUCCUUUGAGUUUCAACCUUGCGGUCGUACUCCCCAGGCGGGGCACUUACUGCGUUAGCGACGGCACUCAAGGGGUCGCUCCCCCAAGCACCUAGUGCCCAUCGUUUACGGCGUGGACUAC
rnacentral:misc_RNA from 1 species